rnacentral:rRNA from 1 species
AUGCGGUAUGACGGUACCCUUUCGAAUAAGAGGUUGCUAACUCUGUGCCAGCAGCAGCGGUAAUACAGAGACCUCGAGCGUUAUCCGGAUUUACUGGGCGUAAAGCGUCUGUAGGGGGUUUGUUAAGUUCCAAGUAAAAUCUUAAGGCUCAACUUUAAGUUCGCUUGGAAAACUAAUAAACUGGAGUCCAGCAGAGGUGCAUGGAACUUGCGGUGUAGGAGUGAAAUCCGUUGAUAUCGCAAGGAACACCAAAGGCGAAGGCAUUGCACUGGGCUGGUACUGACCCUGAGAGACGAAAGCGUGGGGAGCAAAACGGAUUAGAUACCCGUGUAGUCCACGCCGUAAACGAUGGAUACUAGAUGUUCGGGGAUUCGACCCCCUGGGUGUCACAGCUAACGCGUUAAGUAUCCCGCCUGGGAAGUACGGCCGCAAGGCUAAAACUCAAAGGAAUAGACGGGGAUCCGCACAAGCGGUGGAGCGUCUGGUUUAAUUUGAUAGUAAGCAAUGGACCUCACCAAGGUUUGACAUCCUAUGACAACCCUGGAAACAGGGCUUCCUUCGGGCAUAGUGACAGGUGCUGCAUGGUCGUCGUCAGUUCGUGCCGUGAGGUGUUCCGUUAAGUCGGGAAACGAACGAAACCCUCGUCGCAUGUUACAAAUUUCAUGCGAGACUGCCCGGGUCAACCGGGAGGAAGGCGGGGAUGACGUCAGAUCAGCAUGGCCCUUAUACCUUGGGCUACACAGGCGCUACAAUGGCCGGUACAAAGGGUUGCAAAACCGCGAGGUGAAGCUAAUCCCAUAAAGCCGGUCCAAGUUCGGAUUGGAGGCUGCAACUCGCCUCCAUGAAGUUGGAAUCGCUAGUAAUCGUGGAUCAGCCAUACCACGGUGAUACGUUCCCGGAUCUUGUACUCACCGCCCGUCACACCAAGAGAGUUGG